CAGGUUGUGGCCUAAUCUGGCAUGGCAUUUACCUUGUGUGUAAAAUGUUGUAAGUUCAAAUCUUACCAACCUGC
rfam:Rhizopus microsporus genome assembly, contig: SCAF148